rnacentral:rRNA from 1 species
GACGAACGCUGGCGGCGUGCCUAAUACAUGCAAGUAGAACGCUGAAGGAGGAGCUUGCUGCUCUGGAUGAGUGGCGAACGGGUGAGUAACGCGUAGGUAACCUGCCUGGUAGCGGGGGAUAACUAUUGGAAACGAUAGCUAAUACCGCAUAAUAGCAGAUGUUGCAUGACAUUUGCUGAAAAGUUGCAAUUGCAUCACUACCAGAUGGAGCUGCGCUGCAUUGGCUAGUUGGUGGGGUAUCGGCCCACCAAGGCGACGAUGCAUAGCCGACGUGCGAGGGGGGGCGGCCACACUGGGACUGUGACACGGCCCAGAGGCCUACGGGAGGCGGCAGUAGGGAAACGUCGGCAAUGGGCGGAAGACUGUGCGAGAUGCGCCGCGGGAGGGAAGAAGGUUGUCGGGUCGGGAAGCUCGGUUGUCGGGGAAGAACGAGUGUGAGAGUGGAAAGUUCACACUGUGACGGUAUCUGAUAAGAAAGCAACGGCUAACUACGUG